GACGAACGCUGGCGGCGUGCUUAACACAUGCAAGUCGAACGGACCUGUUUUUGAAGCGCUUCGGCGUGGAUGGGACGGGGCAGUGGCGCACGGGUGAGUAAUGCGCGAGGACCUGCCCGCAGGAGGGGGACAGCAGUUGGAAACGGCUGGUGAUACCCCGUAGGCCGGGAGGUGAAAGGGCGGAGACGCCCGCCUGCGGAUGGACUCGCGUCCUAUCAGCUAGUUGGUGAGGCAACGGCUCACCAAGGCGACGACGGGUAGCCGGCCUGAGAGGGUGUCCGGCCACACUGGAACUGAGACACGGUCCAGACUCCACGGGAGGCAGCAGUGGGGAAUUUUGGGCAAUGGGGGAGACCCUGACCCAGCGACGCCGCGUGAGGGACGAAGGCCCUUGGGUCGUAAACCUCUUUUGCAGGGGAAGAAGUAGAUGACGGUACCUUGACGAAUAAGUCCCGGCUAACUACGUGCCAGCAGCCGACGGUAAAAACGUGUAGUGUA
rnacentral:rRNA from 1 species